rnacentral:tRNA from 1 species
UGGGUUGUAGCUGAGAGGUAAAGUGCUUGCCUAGCAUGUAUGAAACACUGAGUUCAAUUCUCAUUACCACAU